CCUUCGGAGUGUUAAACCAAACAGGAGUAGAUUUUUCGAAACUGGACACGAUGAACAAGGAA
rnacentral:sRNA from 1 species